rnacentral:rRNA from 1 species
AUGAACGAUUCUUUGUUAAAAUCAUAUGUGGCAGAAGAUGUUAAAAGAGCUAUUUUCUCCAUUGGGCACAUGAAAGCCCCAAGGAGCGAUGGAUUGCAUGCGAUUUUAUUCAAAAAAAUGUGGCACCUUCUUGGUGAUGCACUUAUUGCAGAAGUUCUAUAUGCUAUCAACAACAGAGUUAUACCAGAAGGGUGGAAUGAUACGGUUAUUGUUUUAAUCCCCAAGGUCCAUAGUCCGGAGAGAAUUACUCAAUAUCGACCUAUUAGCAUAUGUAAUGUGUUGUAUAAGGUGGUUUCCAAGAUGAUUGCUUUUCGCCUCAAGGCUAUCCUUGAUGAGAUUAUUUCUCCGGUACAGAGUGCGGUUGUCCCUGGGCGUCUAACUACAGAUAAUAUAUUAUUAUCCUAUGAAUGCCUACAUACCAUCAAGAACAAGAAGAAGGGGAAUUUUGGAUAUUGUGCUGUCAAGCUUGACAUGCACAAGGCCUAUGACCGGGUUGAGUGAAAGUUUCUUGAAAAAAUGAUGGAAAGAUUGGGUUUCCAUAGAGAGAUCAUUGAACUGAUACUAGCUUGUGUUACCUCUGUUAAAUAUGAAGUGAGAUAUAAUGAUCAAGAAAUGGAAGGCUUCAUUCCCACAAGGGGGCUCCGCCAAGGGGACCCUUUGUCACCAUAUCUUUUUCUUAUUUGUGCAAAAGGGUUAUCUAGUGCUUUGGCUCAAGCAGAGGAGGGGCAUGGCAUUGAAGGUGUUAGGGUGUGCAGGAAUUCACCAUCAGUCUCUCAUUUACCUUUUGAUGAUGAUUCCUUAAUCCUUAUGAAGGCGGAUAUGAAUAAUGCAACCUCAUUGAGAUAGGUAUUUGAUGACUAUCACACAAGCUUUGGUCAAUUAGUGAGUGAUGGGAAGAGUAGUAUUUUUUCCAGUCCUAAUGUGCAAGUAGAAGUCAAAGCUCAAAUAUGUGCAAAACUCAAUAUCAUGACAGAAGCCCUCUCAGAUACAUAUCUUGGUCUCCCUUCUAUGAUUGGUUCAGAUAGGAGUGAUAGCUUCACAUAUUUGGUGGAGAGGGUGGUUAAUAGGCUCAAAGGAUGGAAGGAAAAAUUGUUAUCUUUUGGUGGUAAGGAAAUUUUAUUGAAAGCUAUCAUUGCAUCAAUCCCUGUUUUUGCUAUGUCUGUUUUUAAAAUCCCUAAGAAGGUGUGCAAAGAAAUCACUGAUGCCAUGUCUGCCUUUUGAUGGGGAUAUAUGGAGGAAGAAAAUAAAAUGCAUUGGGUGGCAUGGUGGAGAAUGCGUCUACCAAAAAUCAGGGGAGGCAUGGGAUUUAGGGAUCUCCAUGCUUUCAAUAUAGCUAUGCUAGCUAAGCAAAGUUGUAGGCUAUUAUCUCAGCCAGAUACUUUAUGUGCAAGAGUUCUUCGGGCCAAAUAUUACCCAUAUGGAAACCUGCUCAAAGCAAGGCCGAAAAAAGGAUCUAGUUUUACUUGGCAAAGUAUUUUUCGGGACUCCAAACCUUUCAGAGAGGUCAUAUUUGGAGAAUUGGCUCAGCAGAGAAAAUUAGUAUUUGGGACGAUCACUGGAUUCCAUCUAGUCAGACACGUAUGGUUAUGA